UACAAGAGAGAAAGAGAGAAAGGGAGAAGAAGAGUGAAAAACAGUUUUGAGCGGUGUUGAUCAAGUGAUCGAUCGGAUCGUCCGAUCGAUCUAAAAUUUUGUGGAGAUCUUCUACACUCUUUGUUCUUGAUUCUGACCGGUUGGAUUUUGAUUUCAACGGUUAGAAUUAAAGAAACGAAGGUUUUAUCGAAGCUGUUCGUCCAGAGGUUUCAAACCGCGGCAUGUCUGAUUGCCGUGAAAAUCAGACGGUGGAUUCUUCUCCGAUAGAGGUGAAAUUUGGUAUGCUCGUUCUAGACCCUCUCCUCUUUGAUUUGUAUGGUGGGAUUUUGCAUUGGUUACCGGAAUCAGAAUCUACAGGGUUGACUUACUACCUAAGUUACAGCUGGUUAAGUUGUGCUCUCUUGGAAUAUUGAUGUUAGAAUAUUGACGUGUAUAUUCUAUAACUUUGGGUGUGUUUUUUUGUAUACAGAAGGUUGUUGUGUGGACGUUGUAAUCCAAUUAUAUUAGAUUUUUUGUUGGACUACGGUCCUGUAGUUUUUACUCCUCACAGUGAGGGGGUUUUCCACGUUAAAAAUUGUUGUCUCGUUUGAUUUCGAUACCGUUGCACUAGAUAUUGUCGUACUCAUAGGUUUACACAAGUAAGGGGUUCGUGUUACUGAUCCGUGAUAAACGAUCGAAGUAACGUAAAAUCUCCAACAAAAAAAUUUAAAAAUAAAUAUUAUUCGAUUAAAAAACAAUACGAUAUUUAUCGUCAAUUGAUUCGGAAGACUGGAGUCGCACUUCAUCCUGAUACACAAGCCAUCAACAUGGAUGAUGCAUGAUGGAAUGAUCGUAUUAAGGAGCAGGAGUGAAUCAACAUGUCGAGUCAGAAAACCCAAGUGAAAAUCUGCUAGAGACCGAAGACAUCGACGAUGAUUCCGAUAUGCCACUAGAUAAUAUGAAGGUCCAAACGGUUAUAUGAUGCUCUAUAGAAUAACUGAAGAUGAUGAAGAAAAUGAUGAUAGCAUCUUCUUUGAAGAGUCAUACAUAGAUCAUUUUUCAGAGAGUAUGCCAAGACAAUUGAUGAAUCUAGAUAAAAAACGUGGACGAUGGUAUGUCCAUGAAUUAAUUCACGGUCACGAAGAACAAUGCUACAAUAUGAUCAGGAUGUAUCCACCGGUCUUCAUAUCAUUAUGUCAAAAAUUAGGGAGUGACUAUGAUUUGAAGGGAACCGAUAUAAUCAACAUCGAGGAAAGUGGCCAUUUUUCUUAAUAUUUGCGGUCAAAACAUAACGCAAAGGUAUGCUGGAAAGGUAUUUGGUCAUGCACAGGAGACUGUGGGUAAAAAAUUUCACGAAAUUUUAGAUGUUCUCGAACGUAUGGCCGUUGAUUUAUUAAGCCUAAACCAGAUGAAUUUACACAACCUCAUCCGAAAUUGCAAUCAGAUAGAAGAUUUUGGUCGUAUUUUAGAGGUUUCAUUGGUGCAUUAGAUGAUAUUUAUAUUUUUGUUACUGUUGGAGGAUAU